rnacentral:rRNA from 1 species
GACGGAGGAGGCAAGCGUUAUCCGGAAUUAUUGGGCGUAAAGGGCGCGUAGGCGGCUGGUAAAGUGUGGUGUGAAAGCCCAGGGCUCAACCCUGGAAGGGCACUGGAAACUGUGAGACUUGAGCUGCGGAGAGGAGGGGGGAAUUUCCGGUGUAGCGGUGAAAUGCGUAGAUAUCGGGAGGAAUACCGGGGGGGAAGGCGCGCGGCUGGACGGUGACUGACGCUGAGGCGCGAAAGCGUGGGGAGCAAACAGG